AGUGAACGCUGGCGGUAGGCCUAACACAUGCAAGUCGAACGGCAGCACAGUAAGAGCUUGCUCUUACGGGUGGCGAGUGGCGGACGGGUGAGGAAUACAUCGGAAUCUACUUUUUCGUGGGGGAUAACGUAGGGAAACUUACGCUAAUACCGCAUACGACCUACGGGUGAAAGCAGGGGAUCUUCGGACCUUGCGCGAUUGAAUGAGCCGAUGUCGGAUUAGCUAGUUGGCGGGGUAAAGGCCCACCAAGGCGACGAUCCGUAGCUGGUCUGAGAGGAUGAUCAGCCACACUGGAACUGAGACACGGUCCAGACUCCUACGGGAGGCAGCAGUGGGGAAUAUUGGACAAUGGGCGCAAGCCUGAUCCAGCCAGACCGCGUGGGUGAAGAAGGCCUUCGGGUUGUAAAGCCCUUUUGUUGGGAAAGAAAAGCAGCAGGUUAAUACCCCGCUGUUCUGACGGUACCCAAUGAAUAAGCACCGGCUAACUUCGUG
rnacentral:rRNA from 1 species